CCCUCAAUCACAGCAGUGAUACUAGAACAAAUACCAAAAAGAAAGAAGACACACUUCAAGGACACACACUUGAUCUUGCUUAAAAGUUUCAAUCAAGUAAACAAAUACACUCGUACUUCAAAGCUUAGAGUGGACAAAUUACAACUCAAAAACUCAGUCCAAUUGACACAUCAACAAGAUGGAUGAAUGGCUCACAAUUCACAAACUCACACAAGACUAAAA
rnacentral:lncRNA from 1 species